rnacentral:rRNA from 1 species
GACGAACGCUGGCGGCGUGCCUAAUACAUGCAAGUAGAACGCUGAAGCUUGGUGCUUGCACCGAGCGGAUGAGUUGCGAACGGGUGAGUAACGCGUAGGUAACCUGCCUGGUAGCGGGGGAUAACUAUUGGAAACGAUAGCUAAUACCGCAUAAGAGUAGAUGUUGCAUGACAUUUGCUUAAAAGGUGCAAUUGCAUCACUACCAGAUGGACCCGCGUUGUAUUAGCUAGUUGGUGAGGUAACGGCUAACCAAGGCAACGAUACAUAGCCGACCUGAGAGGGUGAUCGGCCACACUGGGACGGAGACACGGCCCAGACUCCGACGGGAGGCAGCAGUAGGGAAUCUUCGGCAAUGGACGGAAGUCUGACCGAGCAACGCCGCGUGAGUGAAGAAGGUUCUCGGAUCGUAAAGCUCUGUUGUAAGAGAAGAACGAGUGUGAGAGUGGAAAGUUCACACUGUGACGGUAUCUUACCAGAAAGGGACGGCUAACUACGUG